GCUGAUUCAUCCACUGAAGCCCUGGGCCGGGAGGCUUUCCUCUAAGAUCUGUGGGAACUGCGCAGGGCCCUCCUCAAUCUAGGCCUCAGAAUUUCCCCUGAGGUUUGGAGUUGAGCUAGACAGCCUUUAAGAGAAGCUGUGGCUGUAUUCCCACUGGUACCUCACUUUCCUCUUGUGAGGCAAGGAGGUCUUGUCUACAUGAGGGGCGGGCCUGAAGUUGGAUUCUGGAGGGGAGCCAAAUGGGGCCUCAGCUGUGUGGUGCGGCCCUGUUGGCAGUGGGCAUCUGGGUGUCAAUCGAUGGGGCAUCCUUUCUGAAGAUCUUCGGGCCACUGUCGUCCAGUGCCAUGCAGUUUGUCAACGUGGGCUACUUCCUCAUCGCAGCCGGCGUUGUGGUCUUUGCUCUUGGUUUCCUGGGCUGCUAUGGUGCUAAGACUGAGAGCAAGUGUGCCCUCAUGACGGUGUGUCAAACCCAGCUCCACAGGCUGAUGACCAAGAGUCCCCUCGCCCUUGACACCAGGCCCUGGGAUUCCCAAACCCUGCUUUGGAUCCCCCUAGGCUAAGGCUUCUGUCUCACUUUUCCGGCGGGGGUGGAUUAGGGCAAGGAGGGCAUGAGGGACUGUCUCUCCCUAAAACCCAGACCCCUGUUCCCCACUCAGUUCUUCUUCAUCCUCCUCCUCAUCUUCAUUGCUGAGGUUGCAGCUGCUGUGGUCGCCUUGGUGUACACCACAAUGGCUGAGCACUUCCUGACGUUGCUGGUAGUGCCUGCCAUCAAGAAAGAUUAUGGUUCCCAGGAAGACUUCACUCAAGUGUGGAACACCACCAUGAAAGG
rnacentral:sRNA from 1 species